rnacentral:rRNA from 1 species
CCUACGGGCGGCUGCAGUGGGGGAUAUUGCACAAUGGGGGGAACCCUGAUGCAGCGACGCCGCGUGGGUGAAGGAGCGUUUCGGCGCGUAAAGCCCUAUCGGCAGGGAAGAAGGAGGACGGUACCUGACUAAGAAGCCCCGGCUGGGUGGGGGCCAGCGGCGGCGGUAAUACGUAGGGGGCGGGGGGGGGCGGGGGGUACUGGGUGUAAGGGGGGCGCAGACGGCAGCGCAAGCCAGGAGUGAAAGCCCGGGGCCCAACCCCGGGACUGCUCUUGGAACUGCGCGGCUGGAGUGCAGGAGGGGCAGGCGGAAUUCCUGGUGUAGCGGUGAAAUGCGUAGAUAUCAGGAGGAACACCGGUGGCGAAGGCGGCCUGCUGGACUGCGACUGACGUUGAGGCCCGAAAGCGUGGGGAGCAAACAGGAUUAGAUACCCCUGUAGUC